GCGUAUCGGUGCAAAGGCCGAGCUGCUCUGAAAACACUGACUUCACUGACUUUGCUCUUAGUGAGGAGCCUGUGGUCCUCAGCUUGGAUGAUAGGCUGGAGUCUCCUGAUUUGAAGAGGUAGUGAAGCAAAUGAGAAAUGGUCAUGAGCCUAUAUUUAAAUGUACCCAUUCACGUAACUCGAAAGUGCUCCGGAAAUAUCUACAGAAGGUCUGGAGAAUGAAAAAUCCGAGCAAAUGGGAGCUGACGGCAAGAGGCCUGAGUUCUAGGACUGAUUCUGAUGGAAAAUGGUACUUAGAAGCCAAGAUCUGGGCCCUUGGUGCUAUUUGUUAUGGGGACAUCAUAGACACCCUCAGAGGACAGAGCUGGACACUCAGUGAAACUCAGCCCACAGAGGUACGCGUUUCCCAGGGCUGCUGUAACAAAGUAUCACACUGAGGGUUUGAACAGCAGAAAUGCAUGGUCUCCCAGCCUUUGAGAAGAGGGCUGUUGGCAGGGUCAGGCUCCACUUGAAGU